UUUAGUUUUCUUUUAGGUACCUUCGCCGAAAUGCUAUUUAAACGCCAUGAAGGACUUCACCAUCUCAUUCUCAUUCUCAUUCGUCUCUUUACCUCUCCCUUGGUCAUUUUGCGGCAAACGUUAUGGAUCUUGGUCGCAAGAUACCUUCAUCCGAUGUUUAUUUAUCUUUCGCAUGCCUUGAUUGCGUGAAUGAGUUUUAGUUUUUUUUUUAAACUUGUUGAUAUUUCUGAUCCAACUGUUUACUGAUUCAAUACAUUUGUUUCAUUUGUCAAUGGCAGUGAUGACGAAUUCAUAUACCAUCAAACUAUGAAAACUUUGCCUUCUUUGUAGGAGCUUAUCUGCUCGUAAUGUAUGGAAUACGAAAUUGCAUUAAGGCAAUAAAUUAGAGUCUCUGAGGCGCUCUUUUCCGUAGCGUCCACAGCGCUGUACGUUGCCAACAAGAAUUUGGGGCCGAGAUUCUGGCACUUUCCUUAACCUCAAACGCCGGCUGUCUGACUUUGGAGGGCCCUUUACAACUGCGUACAGUGAUUAAUUGUUAAACAAGACGCUGAAGAAUGUGCUGAUUUCUUUCCGAUCUUGUAUUGAGGAAUGGAGGAGCAUUUUCAUUAAGAAAUGAUUGUUUAAUGAAUCUGUAAUCCUCACCUUUUAUAAUAAUUUUGAAGACCAUAUGCUUCACCAAGAAAGUUCAAGUCAAUUUUCAAUGGAAGGAACAAUUUGAAUGUAAGAUUGAUUAUUCAAAGUUUGAAA